rnacentral:rRNA from 1 species
UACGUAGGGUGCGAGCGUUGUCCGGAAUUACUGGGCGUAAAGAGCUCGUAGGUGGUUUGUCGCGUUGUUCGUGAAAACUCACAGCUCAACUGUGGGCGUGCGGGGCGAUACGGGGCAGACUAGAGUACUGCAGGGGGAGACUGGAAUUCCUGGUGUAGCGGUGGAAUGCGCAGAUAUCAGGAGGAACACCGGUGGCGAAAGGCGGGG